AUUGAACGCUGGCGGCAGGCUUAACACAUGCAAGUCGAGCGGGGUGAUGGUGCUUGCACUAUCACUUAGCGGCGGACGGGUGAGUAAUGCUUAGGAAUCUGCCUAUUAGUGGGGGACAACAUCUCGAAAGGGAUGCUAAUACCGCAUACGUCCUACGGGAGAAAGCAGGGGAUCACUUGUGACCUUGCGCUAAUAGAUGAGCCUAAGUCGGAUUAGCGAGUUGGUGGGGUAAAGGCCUACCAAGGCGACGAUCUGUAGCGGGUCUGAGAGGAUGAUCCGCCACACUGGGACUGAGACACGGCCCAGACUCCUACGGGAGGCAGCAGUGGGGAAUAUUGGACAAUGGGGGGGACCCUGAUCCAGCCAUGCCGCGUGUGUGAAGAAGGCCUUAUGGUUGUAAAGCACUUUAAGCGAGGAGGAGGCUCUUUUGGUUAAUACCCAAGAUGAGUGGACGUUACUCGCAGAAUAAGCACCGGCUAACUCUGUGCCAGCAGCCGCCGUAA
rnacentral:rRNA from 1 species